AUCAUCUAUUAAUUAUAUAAAUAAAAAUGUAUUUAACACCAUUGAGAUCAUGAUUUGUUUACCGACUCGCUGUAUAAUCCGGCAUCGCGUUGCCGGUUUCUGACAACGGACGAAAUCGAUACGACCGAAAGGUCGCGAACAGAACGAUAAGGGAUUUUAACUUACAAAUCAAACGGAGGAGAAAGAUGAGGCAGAAGAACGUCGAAGAAGAGAGCAGCUACGUGGAGAACUUUCCUAUUGGAACUACUCGCAACUCUGUACUCUGUACUCGACGCUCCACGACGUGCUCUUGGAGCUCGCUCCUCGUCGUUACUGCGUCUACGAGUGAGUUUGUGAGCGAGACACGCACGCGGCGCGCGCUUGACACAGGUGCGCUUCCACGAGAAGAGCGAGGAGGCCUGCUACUCUUCGUCGUCGUCGUCGUCGUCGUCGUCGUGCUCGUGCUCGAGCUCGUCGUCGUCGCCGUCGUCGUUGGAACUGCCGCCUGGUAGCGCAAGAUCAAAGCUUCGAUUUUAUCCGAGAGCCGUCAAAUAUUAACUGAUGACGAUUAGAAAGCGACUGCUGCCGCCGCGCCGUGUUGUACUGUGUCGGAAUCCUUUCUGCCCCGCGGACGCCAUAUUGGUACCGCGGUGCGGUGUUCGUCGCCGUUUCGCUCUUCUACUGUGGUGGUUAUAUUUUCGUGGAGCUCCUUGACGAGGGAUCGGUUUACCUUACCGUGUACACACACGCGCGCGCGCGCGCGCGCACGCGCACACACGCACACACACACGCACGCACGCAUACGCACGCACGCAUACGCACGCACGCACACACACACACACAGACGUAUACCUAUCACAGUUAUCAUUUUGUUAGAAGGAGGGGAAUGAAGCUUGAAGCCGGAGGGUUAUAGUCAUGGUUACAGAGCACACACUACAGGGUACCACUGAUAAGAGAAUCAGUUAUUCUCUCUAAAAAAGUUUGGUGAAUUCCGAUGUCGACUACGCCAUUGCAAACAAGAGAGGGUAUAUGUGGCGACAAAGAUUAGCCGAGACAUUGCAUUAUCGUCGAAAAUACACAAGGAUGAACUUUCUUUCGGCCGUUCACUGUCUCCUCGUCUAUCAUCAACCGAGUGUUUUUGUGAAUAUUAUG